rnacentral:tRNA from 1 species
GGAGGGGUGUCCGAGUGGCCUAUGGUGACGGUCUUGAAAACCGUUGUCCUUCUUUGAAGGACCGUGGGUUCGAAUCCCACCCCCUCCGCCA